GAUGAACGCUGGCGGCGUGCCUAAUACAUGCAAGUCGAGCGAACAGACGAGGAGCUUGCUCCUCUGACGUUAGCGGCGGACGGGUGAGUAACACGUGGAUAACCUACCUAUAAGACUGGGAUAACUUCGGGAAACCGGAGCUAAUACCGGAUAAUAUAUUGAACCGCAUGGUUCAAUAGUGAAAGACGGUUUUGCUGUCACUUAUCGAUGGUUCCGCGCCGCAUUAGCUAGUUGGUAAGGUAACGGCUUAUCAAGGCAACGAUGCGUAGCCGACCUGAGGGGGUGGUCGGCCACACUGGAACGGGGACACGGUCCAGACUCCUACGGGAGGCAGCAGUAGGGAAUCGUCCGCAAUGGGCGAAAGCCUGACGGAGCAACGCCGCGUGAGUGAUGAAGGUCUUCGGAGCGUAAAACUCUGUUAUUAGGGAAGAACAAAUGUGUAAGUAACUAUGCACGUCUUGACGGUACCUAAUCAGAAAGCCACGGCUAACUACGUG
rnacentral:rRNA from 1 species